UGGGAAUUGAACUCAGGACCUUCAGAAAAGCAGUCAGUGCUCUUAACCAUUAAGCCAUCUCUCCACUCCCUGUUUUUGAAAUACAGGAUUAAACUUGUGUGACACUACUGCCUGGCCUCUACUGGCUUAGUUUUACCCUCUGAUCUUCAGCAAUGAGAUGUGUUUGCUCCUGGCAGCACCAAUUAACUUCUGAGAUGAUGAUAUACUUUGAAGAAACUCCACAUGGAGUUUACUUCCUUUCUAGCAAAAUAAGCAACUAGGCAAGAAAGUGUGCUCACCUUGAUUGCUGAUGUUAUGCUGUCCAGACUGGACAAGAAAGACACAAAAUAGAAUGACUGCCAAACCCUGGCAAGACAAGGUGAGACAGUCCUUCAAAAAUUUUGCUUUAGGGCCGUCCCGCAGGUACCCGAACGGCUGCUGGGUAGCCGGGCGGCUGCGGACGCCCGUGUGCCGUGAGACCCGACCGCACAUGCUAUCAGAUCCUUUAUAUUUAAAAUACACAGAAAUGAAGAGAAAGGUAAUGAACACUGGAAAACUGAGAUUGAGUCCUAAUGAGGAAGCCUUCAUUUUGAAGGAAGAUUAUGAAAGAAGACGGAAACUAAGAUUGCUUCAGGUUCGCGAACAAGAAAGGGGCAUUGCCUUCCAGAUCAGAGAAGACAUAAAACAGAGGCGAAAUCAGCAGUUUUCGUGUUUGGCUGACGAACUAAGGGCAGAAUGGGAAGAAGCACAAAGCCAGAAAAUAGAGAACUUGGAAAAACUGUAUCUGGCAAGUUUAAGACAUAUGGGAGAGGGACAUCGACAGGCUAAAGAAAAUGUGAGUGAGCUCGUCUCAUCACUGCGGACGCAGGGUGCUUAGACUAAAUACAUGAUAAGCGUGUUUUAAUGUAUAGAACUGGGAGAGGCAAGCUGACCUUUAUUUUCUAAAUCAGUUUAAUCUACUGUGAGAAUAAUGGUAUUAUUUGUUUCCUUGUAAAUCUGCCAAGUACACCUUUCUUCCUCUGGUGUUCAAGUUAACAUUAUUUCUUCCGAUUCUUGCCUGUAUAAAGACGGUAACCUAUGCCAUCAGAAAUUGUCUGUCUCAAGCAACUUGAGUAGAUUGAGGGACUCAAUUCAGAUUCAUUCCUACCACCUCUAAAUACAUAUUAGUGAAUAUGUAUGCACUUGUAUUUCGUUGGUGGCUUUCCUAAACGCAAGUAAAGCUAAGUGUUUCAACAGAGCCUUGAGUUCAUUUGUGCUUAUUGUAAUUUAUGGCUAGAAAAUAAAAAAAGAGACAGGAGGACUUCCUUAAGUUCAGAGGCAGCUUGGUCAAUAUCGUAAGUUACAGGUCAGCCAAGGCUACAUAACAGAACUAAAUAAAAAGGGGAGGGAGGGAGAGAUGAAAGAAAGAAAUGCUAGUUGGUCAUUCCAGAGUCAGUGACACAAUAAACAGGCUGGCUCCAAAAAAGACAAAUCUUUAAUUACUAAGGAAAAGAAAUACCUUGAAGUGAUGUGGCAUCUUGGUUUCUGUGUGUUUUUUACCAACAGCUAUAAGUUCUAAUGUUAUUUUGUUUAUUUAUCUAUCUGUUUAUUUAUUUAUUCAUGCUUUUUUCAGAUCAAUAUUGUCCUUGUGUUUAAUUUUUUCCCAAGCCUAACUCAUUUAAAGGACACCCAUAUGAUUUUUGCAGACCAGAGAACCUCUUGUAUUACUAUAAAUUGAAUGUUUUAGUUUAAAUAAAAUAUUUUAGUGGUUAAU